GGAGGAAUAUUGGGUCAAUGGGCGAGAGCCUGAACCAGCCAAGUAGCGUGCAGGACGACGGCCCCAUGGGUUGUAAACUGCUUUUAUAAGGGAAUAAAGUGGGUCUCGUGAGACUUUUUGCAUGUACCUUAUGAAUAAGGGCCGGCUAAUUCCGUGCCAGCAGCCGCGGUAAUACGGAAGGUCCGGGCGUUAUCCGGAUUUAUUGGGUUUAAAGGGAGCGUAGGCCGGAGAUUAAGCGUGUUGUGAAAUGUAGAUGCUCAACCUCUGCACUGCAGCGCGAACUGGUCUUCUUGAGUACGCACAACGUGGGCGGAAUUCGUGGUGUAGCGGUGAAAUGC
rnacentral:rRNA from 1 species